GUGAACUGCUCUUUGAGCGUUAAACUAUAUCCAUCUACACCUGUGAACUGUUGAUUGACUUCGGUCAAUUACUUUUACAAACAUUGUGUAAUGAAACGUCAUGUUAUUAUAACAAAAA
rnacentral:misc_RNA from 1 species